rnacentral:rRNA from 2 species
UUUGACCUCAAAUCGGGUGAGACUACCCGCUGAACUUAAGCAUAUCA